GUUCCUCACACGCUGCUCUGGCAGAGCCCUGACCACACGGGCUGCAGUGUCUCAUUACGCCUGUCUCUUCUGCUGCACUGUGGAGUUCCAGGGAGAUCAGAGGCCAGGGACAGGAGCAAAGCGUCCCCAGAGCUCAUCUGGAUUUGAUGUCCCUGCUCCUCUGUCUUACUGUGCACGCUGUCCUGGACCGGCUGCGGCAUUCUGGAUGGGAGCUGUGGCAAGAGACCCAAACCACAAGGGACGUGCCGUGAGGGGGCGGCCCCCCCCACCCUGUUCCCCUCCCCAGAGGCAACUCAGAGUACCCAUCAUGGUACCCCAUCAUGGAAGUGAACACCUCCAUCCCCUCAAACCGAGCUUUUAUCUGUGCCCGAACCCCGAAAGGCCCUAUCAGGCCACCAGUGACCUACACGGGGCCAGAGCCAAAGGCCACCUUUCUCAAAGCCUCAGCAGCGCUGGCACGGACACCCGUUCUUGGGGCGUCCCUGCCCCCCUCCCACUCCCGCCACCCUGUCCAGCCCUCCUUGCUGGCCCCUCCUCCUCCUCUGAGUUCCCUGAGCAGUGCUGUGCCAGGCCGUUUUCAGGCUUCUCCCUGCAGCCCCCGAACACUUCGUUUGCUGAUGUGCUGAUGACCACGUUUUCGGAACUCCGGGCCAGGAGCUUCCACCUUCCUACAUGUUGUUCGUCUUGCAGCAUCUCAAAGUAGCAGAAGUGCCGAUUACAGAAAUACUGCUCGUCUUCGGCCCUCCUGGGCCCUGACCCCCGCUUCCCGGGUCACCUGUUUGCUCUGACAACGGAGCUCCGUUUCUGCCCAAGCAUCUCGUUCACGUCCGCUCCCUCUUCUGCCUUCCGUCUGACCCCCAGCCCUGCCUCCAUCAUCGGGCACCUGGGAGGGCACAGCCUCCUCCCCAGAGCUGUGCUCCUUCCUCUGUACGGGAGCCGGAGUCUUCCAGUGGUUCCCUGCUUUGCUUAGAAUAAAACCCCACCACCUCACCAUGCCUGCCCCCUGCUUCUCCUUCGAAUUCCUUCCUGGGCUCUUCAGGACCGGCCUCCUCACCGCCUCUAGGGACUCAGCUCGCUGCCUCCAGGAAGCCCUCUGACCACUGCCACACUCUCUGCUCACUUCUGGAAGCUCCUAGUGUGCAUGUUGAAGCCCCGCUGGGACCCAGCCUCCUUGAGGGCAAGAUCUCGGACUUUGUUUUGUACUUUUUAAUCCCCCAGCAGCUAGAACAAUGCCGAGCACACAGAGAGAGCCCAGUGUCGUUUGCUGAUGGGCUCCUGGAAUGUUAGAGCAAGUUUAUAGGGAAGCAUAUGUUUGUAAGCGUCGGGAACCCUUCCCAGCGGAGCCAGAUCAGUCUGUGGGCUCUUUAAAGUUAAAGGAAAAAGAAUUCUCGAAUGCCGCCCUCCGUCAGUCACCCUCCUGACAGGAGAUCUGCCGGUCAGCAGGCUGGUCCUGUUUAACUCCCUUCCCGGACGCCCUGCCACAGGCUGAGAGGCGACCGCCUCCUCUCUGCUCUGUCCCUGUCUGUCCCCUGUGAUGUCGGAGCCGCAGGAGUGGGAAGGGCUUGUGUCUAACUCAUCUCCCUGCAGGGAGACAUAAAACUUGCCCAUAAAUAAAGCCUUUUAUUGUUUAGCUCGAACAUUAAAUUUCA